UGCGCUUCUCCAGGACCUUUUGGCUAAGAUCAAUUGUUGUUGUAGUAUCUGUUCUUAUGCAGUUUAAUAUCUGAUACGUUUCCCCCAUCUGGACCAUAUAUAAAUGGAGAUAGUUUUUGAGAACAGGAGAGAUGGAAGAAGAGAGCUUGCCCUGUCCAUCCACGCAUCGAUCCUGGUUUUGCGUACCUCCAGGACCGGUGUCAAACCC
rnacentral:snRNA from 1 species